rnacentral:rRNA from 1 species
AUGGAGAAGAAGUGGGACUCCGGAUGGAGAAGAAGUGGGACUAGGAGUGCUCAUUCCUUUCCGGCCACAACCCUCGCCUCCGCCCGCCAUGCCGCCGCCGCCGGCGACGCUGCCAGACGAGCUCCUCGAGGAGAUCCUCCUCCGCCUUCCGCCGGACGACCCCGGGUGCCUCUGCCGCGCCUCCUCGUCUGCAAGCCCUGGCGCAGCCGCCUCACCGGCCCUGCCUUCUCCCGCCUCUACCGCGAGUUCCACCGGGCGCCUCCCUUGCUGGGAUUCUUCGAGAACGACGAGACGGUCUUCUGCUGGUUCGCUCCCUUGACCCCCACCUCCCCCUUCCUCCCGGUCCACCCCAGCCAGUCUGAUCUCUUCACGCUCGACGCUCGCCAUGGCCUCGUCCUCUUAACUGCUCUCGGCGCGGACGGCGAACCUCUGUGCCUCAUCGUGUGGGAUCCCAUUUUCCAUCGCCAGUGGCUAUUGCCCUUGCCCGAGUUCGUGGACUAUCCAACCGUCCCGGACUGCGCGGCGGCGGUGCUCUGCGCCGCCGAUGGCUGCGACCACAUCGACUGCCAUGGCAACCCCUUCCGCGUGGUCUACGUGGGCACCGAUGAAGACGGGGUCGCACAAGCUUGCGUCUACUCUUCAGAGGACCGUUCCUGGAGCCCCGUGACAUCUUGUGAGCACACUGACUUGCCCCUGCUCGUCAUUAGCUCUCGGCCCAAUGCCCUUGUGGGAGAUGCAGUCUAUUUCUUGUGCCAUCAGGAAACGUUCAUCCUGCAGUAUGACUUGUUCAACCAGGAACUAUCAAUGAUUUACUGGCCACCCUUGCCAAAGUGUAAGUGCGGCGAAUAUAUCGUUAUGCCCACAGAGGACGGUGUGCUGGGAUGUGCCACCCUGAAGGAGUCCAAGCUCGAAUUAUGGUCGAUGGAGGCUGGCACAGACGGAGCUGUAAAAUGGGCAAUACGUAGAGUCGUAGAGCUUGAGAACUUGCUACCCUCUCCCCCUAGAUAUGCGAUCAGCUGCGCCAAUGGAGUUGAUGUCUUUUUCGUGCGGACAGAUCUUGGCACCUUCACAGUUGAGCUUAAUUCAGGCCGAGUUAAGAAGGUAUCCAACAGCACUAACAUCAUUCCCUACAUGAGUUUCUACACUCCUGAUCAAGCUGGGGGUAUAAAGCCUCCAUCAGCCAUAGCUUCCUCCUCAGAGAGCAUUGAGAAGGCCCGAGACGAGCACCAUGAUCUGCUGCGGCCACACUCAAGUUGGAAUCUGGGCUUUGAGAAGGAGAAAUGGGUAGAGAAGAGCAAGGAGGAUUGUGAAUGUGAGGAGGACGGAUGGGAGGAGGAGGCCGAGGAAGAGGAUUGGGAAUGGAAUGGGGAUAAAGCUCAGGAGCUGUUUGACGAGGGGUCCAAGGCCAUCGAGGAAGGGCAAUUGGUCCAUGCCGAGGACUGUUUCUACACUGCCCUUAGGAGCAGGGUGUUAUAUUAUGGGAGACUUUCUCCAAUGUGUGUUAGCACGUAUUACAAAUAUGGAUAUGUUUUGCUGUACAAAGCUCGAGCUGAGAUUGCACCAUAUCAAGACUGGCGGAAGAGUAGAACCAGCAGAGAUGAUACUGGAAGCUCAAAGGCAUCUGGUAGUAAUGCAAGGGAAGAUGAUACUGAAAAAGUUACGGCACCGAAGCAGCGUCCCUGUCCAAUGUAUUUGAAUGAACUAGCUUUGGUGCAAAAUUUGGAUCUGGCCUGGAAAAUGUUGCAUAUUGCGAAGGCAAUACUUGAAAAGAGUCCUUGCGAUCCUGUUGUGGAAUUUGGUCCUAGAAACUUCCACAUAUUUCUGGCUUUCAAGUCUGCAUCCAAGAUUGGAGAUGCGAUUCCAUAUGCUGCAAAGGUUAUUUCAUUCAUCAAGUCACGUAUGCAGAAGCUGAAUAAGGCCUACGAUGCUUUCUUGGCUGUUGAAGGUGAUAAUAUACCUGGUGCUGAAGUUAGCUCAGAAAAAUCCUCGCUGGACAAUGACAAAGAAUUCCUUGCUACCUUACUCAAUGAAGUAGAGGAGCAAUUUGAAGACCUAGCACAAGCAUUAACCCCAAUCUCGAAGGCAAGUGGUGCGCGUAAAGUUGUCUAUGCUACACCAAGAGCUGGAGCAAAGGAUUCUUCACCUGUAAAAGGUGAUAGCAGCAACAAAUCAGAUGUUCAUCCUGCAGCACUGGAGGACGAUACCUCUAUCAGAGUAGAUACAUCUUCGUUAGCUUUACUACUUGAAGUUUGUGAUAAGUACAUAAGGUGCUGGAAUAGUAGGGGAGUGCUCUCCCUUCUAGAUGAAGUCUGGAGCAUUAGGAAGAAGAACAAUUUCGUCUUGAAAUAUAACACUGUGAUUUCUGACAUGGAAAAUGUCUAA